UUGGACCUGAUAUCAGGCAAGAUUACCCGCUGAAUUUAAGCAUAUAACUAAGCGGAGGAAAAGAAACUAACAAGGAUUCCCCUAGUAACGGCGAGUGAAGCGGGAUGAGCUCAAGCUUAAAAUCUCCAUAGGAGUUUCCUGUGGCGAAUUGUAGUCUAUAGAGGCGCUGUCAGUGCGGCUGUUUGGGAUAAGUCUCUUGGAAAAGAGCAGCAUGGAGGGUGAUACUCCCGUUCUUGCCUGAGCAGCUUGCGCGUACGACACGUUUUCUUUGAGUCGCGUUGUUUGGGAAUGCAGCGCAAAGUGGGUGGUAAAUUCCAUCUAAAGCUAAAUAUUGGUGCGAGACCGAUAGCGAACAAGUACCGUGAGGGAAAGAUGAAAAGAACUUUGAAAAGAGAGUUAAAGAGUACCUGAAACUGCUGAAAGGGAACCGAAUCGUUUCCAGUGUCUAUAAUCCGUAGCAUAUUUCAUUGGCGAGUGGAUGCGUGCAGUGUUUUGACAGCGGCUUGCUGCGUCAUGCAUUGUUCUGCGUUUACUUGCUGGUGCCCUGUGUUGCGGUGGGACGUCAGAGUCAGUUCGUAUGCUGCGGGAAAUGGUCAUCGAGGAGGUAGGUGCUUGCACUGUUAUAUCUCGGUUGACUAGUCGUCGUGGUUGGGACUGAGGUGCCUACAAUGUGCUUUAACGUCUUGCGGAUGCUUAUCUGAUCUACUGCUCUGAUAGCUUGCUAUGUUUGCGGUCUGGUUGGGUGAUUGUGUUUGUAAGUAACGUUUGCCGUUCGG
rnacentral:rRNA from 1 species